AACGCACAUUGCGCUCUCCGGUACUCCGGUGAGCAUGCCCGUUUCAGAAUCAGUAACAAUUCUCGCCAAACUCGUGCGGUUCCGGGGGGGACGACGAGCGAGGCGGACUUUGGAUGCGCUGUUUCUCCUGGUGCAAAAGGUCGUUCGACCUUCACCGGAAGAGACUCGUCCGAAACGCAUGGGAAAUGCGGAGGCCCCGUCUCCUCUCUCUGGAGACGGACCUUGCAAAGAAGCAACAAAAACCUUCCUUGGGUUUGGAAACUACUCUUUGCUCGGUUGGAGGCGCCUCUGGUUGUUUUUCCGUCAUGCCCAUCUGGGCAAUCGAAGCAUCGCUCCGUGGAGUGGUCCUUCAAGAACUUGGUCUGAAAUCGGGCAAGAAAACCCGCUGAACUUAA
rnacentral:misc_RNA from 1 species